rnacentral:tRNA from 1 species
AGGAGAGAGAGGGAUUCGAACCCUCGAUAGUUAUUUUUUAUGAACUAUACCGGUUUUCAAGACCGGAGCCAUCAACCACUCGGCCAUCUCUCCGAACGAUAAUUUCUAUUUUAUUUUUUUUUCGCUAAAUAGAACAUAGCCUAUGAGUUAAUACGAUCACUAUGUCGAGAAAGAUAUGGUGUGUGACUUUCUUUAUAGGUCGAUCAACCUGCCUAUAUAAAUAAAUGAGAUACACGAUCCAGUAUACCCAUUUGUGAAGUCAAAAAGAACCUUUAACUUAAUGUCCGAAUAGAAUAAUAGAAUAAAAGUGGUAAAACGAAGUUGGAAAUAAGUCAUCUCGAAUCAACGGAUUCAUGAAAAAAUGCCUUUAUUUAUUAAAAUUUUUUAGUGAGUAAGAGGAUUAAAUGGUGUAUAUUCUUUUGUUAAUAGCUUGGAGGAUUAAAAACAUGACUAUUGCUUUCCAAUUGGCUGUUUUUGCAUUAAUUAUUACUUCAUCAAUCUUAUUGAUUAGUGUACCCGUUGUAUUUGCGUCUCCUGAUGGUUGGUCGAGUAACAAAAAUGUUGUAUUUUCUGGUACAUCUUUAUGGAUUGGAUUAGUCUUCUUGGUGGGUAUCCUUAAUUCUCUUAUCUCUUGA